rnacentral:rRNA from 1 species
UACGUAGGGUGCGAGCGUUGUCCGGAAUUACUGGGCGUAAAGAGCUCGUAGGUGGUUUGUCGCGUUGUUCGUGAAAACCGGGGGCUUAACCCUCGGCGUGCGGGCAAUACGGGCAGACUUGAGUACUGCAGGGGAGACUGGAAUUCCUGGUGUAGCGGUGGAAUGCGCAGAUAUCAGGAGGAACACCGGUGGCGAAGGCGGGUCUCUGGGCAGUAACUGACGCUGGAGGAGCGAAAGCGUGGGGAGCGAACAGG